rnacentral:lncRNA from 1 species
CCAUUCGCAUCUGAUGUCUUUCUGUUUUUUGUCGUUUCGAUUGUGCCUAUUAAAAGUGCACUAUUUUCUUGUUUUUGUUAAUAAAACAUUGAAAAAAGUGCUGCUAAUGCCGGAAAGUCUUGCUCGGCAACCCGCUGCAUCUAAGCAUCAAGUUCUGAUCAUGCUUGGGAAUCUGGUUCCGUGCGGGAACACAAGGUUGGAACGGUCAUGGAGCGAGGCGCAUCAAUAUCAGGAGCUACUGACUCCCUUGGACAUCUGAGUGAACUGAACUGACAUGACCGUACUAACCGAUGUACUGACCAAGGCCAAGGACAAGUGCACCGUUGGUCGGGCACAGGUGCUGAAGGCGGAAAAGGUUACCUGGAAAUCGUGUUUCCGUCGUAAUAUGCUGACAGAUUAUGUUGUAAUAUAAUGCGAAUGUAAUUAUUCUACUCUUGUGUUGAUAAAUAAAAUUGGUUUUCCGAGGG